rnacentral:rRNA from 1 species
AUACGUAGGUGACAAGCGUUAUCCGGAUUUACUGGGCGUAAAGGGCGUGUAGGCGGUCUUGCAAGUCAGAAGUGAAAUUCCUGAGCUCAACUCGGGCGCUGCUUCUGAAACUGCAGGACUUGAGUGCUGGAGGGGAUAGCGGAAUUCCCGGUGUAGCGGUGAAAUGCGUAGAGAUCGGGAGGAACACCAGUGGCGAAGGCGGGUAACUGGACUGCAACUGACGCUGAGGCGCGAAAGUGUGGGGAGCAAACAGGAUUAGAUACCCUGGUAGUCCACACUGUAAACGAUGAAUGCUAGGUGUAAGAGGUAUCGACCCCUUUUGUGCCGGAGUCAACACAAUAAGCAUUCCGCCUGGGGAGUACGGCCGCAAGGUUGAAACUCAAAGGAAUUGACGGGG